rnacentral:misc_RNA from 1 species
GAGUAGAAUGGCUGCUGCUACAAGUUGGACUGAAGCUAUGAUUAUACCUGUAUAUGUAAAACAUUCCUAAUCAAGAAAACCCAGCCUGUAGUAGACAAUGAAUCUGAGUGUAAAAGUGGAGAUGAAGUAGAGAGAUAACCUGUUUCUGUAAACUUUGUUGAUGCCCCUGAAAAAGUAACAUUUUAUUUUUAGAUUCUUAUGUUUUGAAUGCAUAUAAUACAUAUUACACCUGUAUAUAUAAAACAUUCCUAGUCAAGAAAACCCAUCCUGUAGAUAGGCAAUGAAUCUGAGUUAUAAAAGCGGAGAUAGGGUAUAGAGAGAACCUUUUUCUUUAAACUCUU